CAUAGUUAACCUGCUGGCUGGUUCAGCUAGUCACCUACAUCCAAGAGAAUUGCUAAAAGCUUCUGCACUGCUCUGCAUCCUGUGAGGACAACCUGUUGUGAGUUAACUGCCUGAAUCUUACUCUUGCUUUACUACAAGGCACAGAGAGGAAGAUGAGAGAGGGGUAAGCCAGCAGAUACUCUCUUUCUGAGCUCUCCUUACUUCCCAAAGGGAGGCAUGUGGAAGGACCACCAGAGUUGGAGGGGAUCAAUGAGCCAGGAAACCAAGAAUUUGGAGAAGUGAAGGAAUCCAUGUAGGUCAACUUGGAGUACCUCAAGAUGGAGAAGGAGUAGUGGCUCUGAUGGUAGUGGACAUGGAUUCAGAAAAGAAUAGAGAAGACAAAAUCAAUAAUCCCACUUGAAAAAGGAGAUGGAAUUCUGUCAAUUCAAGGGACAACAGGGUACAGUGAAAGAACACUGAGUCUGAAAGCAGA
rnacentral:lncRNA from 1 species